CAGUCACAUCAUUUUGAAACACCUGUUCUCAUAGGAUCACUGAAGUUAAGCAACAUCGAGCACAAUCAGUGCAUAGAUGGGUGACCGCUUGGAAAUACCGGGUGCUGUAAG